AUUGAACGCUGGCGGCAUGCUUUACACAUGCAAGUCGAACGGUAACAGGCCUUCGGGUGCUGACGAGUGGCGAACGGGUGAGUAAUGCAUCGGAACGUACCCAGAGGUGGGGGAUAACGCAGCGAAAGCUGUGCUAAUACCGCAUGUGAUCUGAGGAUGAAAGCGGGGGACCGAGCAGCAAUGUUUGGCCUCGCGCCUUUGGAGCGGCCGAUGUCGGAUUAGCUAGUUGGUGGGGUAAAGGCCUACCAAGGCGACGAUCCGUAGCUGGUCUGAGAGGACGACCAGCCACACUGGGACUGAGACACGGCCCAGACUCCUACGGGAGGCAGCAAUGGGGAAUUUUGGACAAUGGGCGCAAGCCUGAUCCAGCAAUGCCGCGUGCGGGAAGAAGGCCUUCGGGUUGUAAACCGCUUUUGACAGGAACGAAACGGUGUCCGCUAAUACCGGGCGCUAAUGACGGUACCUGCAGAAUAAGCACCGGCUAACUACGUG
rnacentral:rRNA from 1 species